rnacentral:sRNA from 1 species
CCCUGGCAUUUUAAAAUGCUUGGUGUUAGUCAGUGAACCACAAGUUAAAAGGCUGGCCACAGAGAACCUGCAAUACAUGGUAAAAGCCUGCCAAGUGGGGUCAGAAGAAGAACCUUCCUCCCAGCUGACUUCUGUGUUUAGGUAACUGGAAAAUAUGCCAACUGGCAAGGAAACUAUUGCCAGCCAUUUGACAGCCAACAUGUUUUUUAAAUAACUAAUUAUCCAAAACAUAAUGUGUUACUACUUGUUUAUAGUAUUUCAAUUAUUGUAUUUUUGGCAGUAGUUUUGUUACACUGUGAUGUUUUAUUGAAAAAUAAAAGUGCCAGUGAAAAAG